rnacentral:rRNA from 1 species
UACGUAGGGUCCGAGCGUUGUCCCGGAAUUAUUGGGCGUAAAGAGCUCGUAGGCGGUUUUGUCGCGUCUGCUGUGAAAUCCCGAGGCUCAACCUCGGGGUCUGCAGUGGGUACGGGCAGACUGGAGUGCGGUAGGGGGAGAAUGGAAUUCCUGGUGUAGCGGUGGAAAUGCGCAGAUAUCAGGAGGAACACCGAUGCGAAGGCAGGUCUCUGGGCCACUACUGACGUGAGAAGCGAAAGCAUGGGGAGCGA